rnacentral:rRNA from 2 species
UGAGGAAUAUUGCGCAAUGGGCGAAAGCCUGACGCAGCGACGCCGCGUGAGGGAUGAAUGCCUUCGGGUUGUAAACCUCUUUCAGCAGGGAUGAAGCGCAAGUGACAGUACCUGCAGAAGAAGCACCGGCUAACUACGUGCCAGCAGCCGCGGUAAUACGUAGGGUGCAAGCGUUGUCCGGAAUUAUUGGGCGUAAAGAGCUCGUAGGCGGUUUGUCACGUCGGAUGUGAAAUUCCAGGGCUCAACCCUGGACCUGCAUUCGAUACGGGCAGACUAGAAUUCGGUAGGGGAGUCUGGAAUUCCUGGUGUAGCGGUGAAAUGCGCAGAUAUCAGGAGGAACACCGGUGGCGAAGGCGGGACUCUGGGCCGAUAUUGACGCUGAGGAGCGAAAGCGUGGGGAGCGAACAGG